rnacentral:rRNA from 1 species
GACGAACGCUGGCGGCGUGCCUAAUACAUGCAAGUAGAACGCUGAAGGAGGAGCUUGCUUCUCUGGAUGAGUUGCGAACCGGUGAGUAACGCGUAGGUAACCUGCCUGGUAGCAGGGGAUAACUAUUGGAAACGAUAGCUAAUACCGCAUAAUAGUAGAUGUUGCAUGACAUUUGCCUAAAAGGUGCAAUUGCAUCACUACCAGAUGGACCUGCGUUGUAUUAGCUAGUUGGUGGGGUAACGGCUCACCAAGGCGACGAUACAUAGCCGACCUGAGAGGGGGAUCGGCCACACUGGGACUGAGACACGGCCCAGACUCCUACGGGAGGCAGCAGUAGGGAAUCUUCGGCAAUGGACGGAAGUCUGACCGAGCAACGCCGCGUGAGUGAAGAAGGUUUUCGGAUCGUAAAGCUCGGUUGUAAGAGAAGAACGAGUGUGAGAGUGGAAAGUUCACACUGUGACGGUAUCUUACCAGAAAGAGACGGCUAACUACGUG